GACGAACGCUGGCGGCGUGCUUAACACAUGCAAGUCGAACGGAAAGGCCCUGCUUUUGUGGGGUGCUCGAGUGGCGAACGGGUGAGUAACACGUGAGUAACCUGCCCUUGACUUUGGGAUAACUUCAGGAAACUGGGGCUAAUACCGGAUAGGAGCUCCUGCUUCAUGGUGGGGGUUGGAAAGUUUCGGCGGUUGGGGAUGGACUCGCGGCUUAUCAGCUUGUUGGUGGGGUAGUGGCUUACCAAGGCUUUGACGGGUAGCCGGCCUGAGAGGGUGACCGGCCACAUUGGGACUGCGAUACGGCCCAGACUCCUACGGGAGGCAGCGGUGGGGAAUAUUGCACAAUGGGCGGAAGCCUGAUGCAGCAACGCCGCGUGCGGGAUGACGGCCUUCGGGUUGUAAACCGCUUUCGCCUGUGACGAAGCGUGAGUGACGGUAAUGGGUAAAGAAGCACCGGCUAACUACGUG
rnacentral:rRNA from 1 species